UACGAAGGGGGCUAGCGUUGCUCGGAAUUACUGGGCGUAAAGGGAGCGUAGGCGGGUUAUCAAGUUGGAGGUGAAAGCCCAGGGCUCAACCUUGGAAUUGCCUUCAAAACUGAUAACCUAGAGUAUGAUAGAGGUAUGUGGAACUCCGAGUGUAGAGGUGAAAUUCGUAGAUAUUCGGAAGAACACCAGUGGCGAAGGCGACAUACUGGGUCAUGACUGACGCUGAGGCUCGAAAGCGUGGGGAGCAAACAGG
rnacentral:rRNA from 1 species